CGGACCCUUGCGCUGCGUCGGGCGAUGGAUAGCAACCUAGCGUUGGUGUGGGAGAUCGCCGGCCCCGGCAUCGCCGGCGCCAUCUUCGGCGCCGGCUGGUGGUUCUGGGUCGACGCCGUCGUCUGCAGCGCCGUCAAGAUCUCGUUCCUCCACUAUCUCCCCGGGAUAUUCGCAUCGCUGGCGGCGCUGAUGUUCAAUUGCGUCGG
rnacentral:misc_RNA from 1 species